rnacentral:rRNA from 1 species
AGUGAACGCUGGCGGCGUGCCUAAUACAUGCAAGUCGAACGGAGUGGCGCACGGGUGAGUAAUAUAUAGCUAAUAUGCCCCUUGAUGGAGGACAACAGUUAGAAAUGACUGCUAAUACUCCAUAGCAAGGGAUGAGACUAUAUCGUAUCAGGUAGUCGGUGUGGUAACGGCCUACCGAGGCUAUGACGCGUAACUGGUAUGAGAGGAUGAUCAGUCACAUGGGAACUGAGACACGGUCCAAACUCCGACGGGAGGCAGCAGUAGGGAAGAGUGCGCAAUGGGGGAAACCCUGACGCAGCAACGCCGCGUGGAGGAUGACACUUUGCGGAGCGUAAACUCCUUUUGUUAGGGAAUCGGUACCUAACGAAUACGCACCGGCUAACUCCGUGCCAGCAGCCGCGGUAAUUC